UCUUUGUGCUCUAGAAUUCAUUCUUUUCAUGUCAAAGAAAAGCUUCUUCCGUUGAGCAGGUAAUGCUUUGAGAAGGGUCCAAUAUUUUCUCCUCGGACAGCACCCAAUAUUUUCUCAAACCGAGCAACUCUCCCCAUUAAAGUCGGUCCAAGUCCUUGGUCUACAAAAAUUGCUCCCUAUAAAUAUAACUUUCCUAAACCAAAACACUUAAAUCCAAUCUCCAUCAAUGGCUCCUCCUCCUCCUCCUCUUCCUCCUUAUUCCCCAUCAUCUCUCCACCCCCUCCUCGGCCCGCCAGAAUGCCACAACCCGCCGCCUCCUCAGGCCCCUCCUGCUCCGGCCUCCUCCUUCAUCGACCUGAUGGUUGCCAACUUCGACGACGACUUGCCUCAGAAGAGCUACACAGAGAACAACUCGGCCACGUUCCUGUCCACAGGCAAUCCGUGCCUCGACUUCUUCUUCCACGUGGUCCCCGACACCCCACCCGAGUCCCUGACCCAGAGGCUCGAGUCAGCCUGGACCCACGACCCGCUUACCGCCCUCAAGCUCGUGUGCAACCUCCGGGGCGUGCGUGGGACUGGGAAGUCGGACAAGGAAGGGUUCCACGCUGCGGCGAGGUGGCUAUUCAAGAACCACCCCCGGACCCUGGCCUCCAACGUUGGGGCCUUCGCGGAGUUCGGGUACUUCAAGGACUUGCUUGAGAUCCUCUACCGCCUCCUCGAGGGCCCUGACAUCAGGCCCAGGCAGAAGAGCGAGUGGCAACGGCGGAAAGGCUCCAGAAGGAGGCGGAAAUUUUUGGAAUGGUUCAGCUGCCCCGAUGAAUCAAGAACGGAGGGGAGAAAUAGCUCGAGGACAGCCGGAGCUUCGGUGCCCAAGGAAGUGAGGAUUGCAAACAAGGCGGCGCGUGACCAGGAGCAGAAGCAGAAGGCAAGCGAGCUGAGGAACAUGAAGAGGAUCGCUAUGGCCAGGAAGCUCCUGGAGCGGUACAAGCGCGAUGGGGACUUCCGGUUCCUCCAUGGCGCGGUGUCUACGCACUUCGCCCAUUGCCUGACGGCCGACCUGGAGUUCCUGAAAUCUGGGGAGAUCAAUAAGAUUAGCCUCGCCGCCAAGUGGUGCCCGUCGGUCGACUCGUCCUUUGACCUCGUGACGCUGCUCUGUGAGAGCAUCGCGAAGCGGGUCUUCCCACGGGACCGGUUUCCCGAGUUUGAGGGCCUUGAGGAGGCGCACUAUGCGUACAGGGUGCGGGACCGGCUCAGGAAGGACACCCUUGUGCCACUCCGGAGGGUCCUGAAGUUGCCGGAGGUAUACAUGAGCGCAAGGCGUUGGGGCGACAUCCCCUACAACCGGGUCGCCUCCGUGGCCAUGAAACUUUACAAGGGCACGUUCCGUAAGCACGACCGAAAGCGGUACCAGAGCUACCUGGCAGACGUGAAGUCUGGAAAGGCCACGAUCGCUGCCGGCGCACUGCUCCCCCACCAGAUUGUAGCCUCACUUCGUGACUCCGACGGGUGUGAGGUCGCAGAGCUCCAGUGGAAGCGCAUGGUGGAGGAUCUAUCCAAGGCGGGGAAGUUGGAGAACUGCAUCGCUGUGUGCGACGUCUCGGGGAGCAUGAGCGGUACACCGAUGGAGGUGUCGGUGGCGCUCGGGCUGUUGGUGUCGGAGCUUAGCCGGGAGCCAUGGAAGGGCAAGGUGAUCACAUUCAGCGAGUUUCCUCAGCUUCACGCGAUACAAGGAGAGGGCUUGCGCUCCAAGACCGAAUUCAUCGAAACGAUGGAGUGGGGUGCCAACACCGACUUCCAGGCUGUAUUCGACAGGAUUCUAGAGGUGGCCACCGAGGGGAAGCUGAGGGCUGAGGAGAUGGUCCGGAAGGUGCUCGUGUUCAGCGACAUGGAGUUCGACCAGGCUUCCGACCAGGCUUCCGCGAACCCUUGGGAGACGGACUACGAGGCGAUCACGAGGAAGUUCGGGGAGCGUGGGUACGGGGCGGUGGUGCCGCAGAUCGUGUUCUGGAACCUGAGGGACUCGAGGUCGACGCCGGUGGUGGCGAAGCAGGGGGGGGUGGCGCUGGUGAGCGGGUUCUCGAAGAACCUGAUGAAGAUGUUCCUGGGCAGCGUGGGGGACAUAAGCCCCGUGGCCGUCAUGGAGGCUGCCAUCUCGGGCGACGAGUACAGGGACCUUGUCGUCGUCGAUUGAUCGAUUGAUUCAGUUCUUUCCCUUGUUUAGGAAUCUUAGCAAAAACGAAAAAACAAAAAGAAAAAAAAAAAAAAAGAAAAGGUUCUGUUUUCUGUUAAUCUUGUCAGCGAAUACUUAGCUGCUUCCAUGUUGUCAACUUAUAUUCUUUCUUGGCUAGAUGAUGAGAUCACGAGCAGUGGAA